UGGUCCAUCGAUCGACGUUGAGUCCGUC
rnacentral:piRNA from 1 species